GAUCGCGUAGCUCAGCCGGUAGAGCAUCUGACUUUUAAUCAGAGGGUCUCGGGUUCGAAUCCCGACGCGAUCACCA
rnacentral:tRNA from 1 species